GGGAGACAGGUGGUGCGAUGGUUGUCGUCAGCUCGUGUCGUGAGAUGUUGGGUUAAGUCCCGCAACGAGCGCAACCCCUACGUUUAGUUGCUAACGCGUGAAGGCGAGCACUCUAGACGAACUGCCGUUGACAAAACGGAGGAAGGUGGGGAUGACGUCAAAUCAUCAUGCCCCUUAUGUUCUGGGCUACACACGUGCUACAAUGGCCGGUACAGACGGAGGCGAAGCCGCGAGGCGGAGCAAAAUCCGAAAAAGCCGGUCUCAGUUCGGAUUGCAGGCUGCAAUUCGCCUGCAUGAAGUCGGAAUCGCUAGUAAUCGCAGGUCAGCAUACUCGCGGUCGAAUACGUUCCGGGCCUU
rnacentral:rRNA from 1 species